rnacentral:rRNA from 1 species
CGGCAACAGCUCAAAUUUGAAAUCUGGCUCCUAGAGUCCGAGUUGUAAUUUGUAGAGGAUGCUUUUGAUGCGGUGCCUUCCGAGUUCCCUGGAACGGGACGCCAUAGAGGGUGAGAGCCCCGUCUGGUCGGAUGCCAAAUCUCUGUAAAGCUCCUUCGAC